rnacentral:lncRNA from 1 species
UAAGUAGGGGUGGUUCAGUAUGGGAUCCCAUACCGAAACCCUUGUCUCGAUUCCCAAACCUAAAUUUUCAGGAAUCCCAAUUUCAAUCCCAAUCUCAAACGAAAUUUUCGGGAAUCCCGAAAUAGUUUCGGGAUUUUGGGAAAAUCGAGAAUCCCAAAAUAGUUUUGGGCUUUUGGACUAAAAUUUGAUAUAGUAUUUGGGCUGCCAAUCUGUUGAAUAUAACCAUAUAGACACAAAUCUUUUCUUUUUUUUCUUUUUGUUUUUUAAGGAGAAAUUUUGUUAAGUAACUAAAACAUGAAAUGACAUGGAGUUCUCAACGAAUAAAACCAUAACACAAAUCUGUGCAGUGUGCAGUGUGCCAAUCUGUGCAGUGUGCAGUGUGCCAAUCUGUGCAAUGUGCCAAUCUGCCCAAUCUGUGCAGUGUGCCAAUCUGCCCAAUCUGUGCAGUGUGCACAAAUCUGUGCACAAUGACAAUAGCACAAAUCUGUGCACAAUAACAAUAGCAUAAAUCUGCCUAUUCAAUUUCUACUACAAAUGCCAAUAAAAAUAAAUUAACAAAUCCAAAAGCAAAAAAAUUAGUUACAAGCCAAGGUUUUAAAAUAAAUAAAGUAACAAACCCAAAAGAAAUACGAGCCAAAGUUUCAAUAAUUGAGUUACAAACCAAAAGCCAACAAGCAAAGCUUAAAGUUUAUGAAGAUUGUUGGCCUCUUCGGCCCCUUCGGCCCCUAGAUCUUGUUGAUGCUUGUGGUUGCUCCCUUCUUGUUGGUACUUGUGCUCUUCCCCUUAAUGUUGAUGGUUGAGCCCUUCGGCCCCUAAAUAAAAUAAAUGGUUCAAAAAUUUGAGCAUUCAACAUACAAAUAUAUGGUUGUGAGAAAAAGAACUCAAAAUAAAUUGUGUAUUUGAACUAGGAAGCAAAUAAAAACCAGCUUGUUUCUAAACUAGGAGAAUAUAAGUAGCUUGUUUCAAAACACUAAAUUAAUUACCUAAUUUGGGGUGAGAGAGAGCAGAUAUGUACGUACCAAAAGCACCUUGUUCAGAUGACCUGCAUUGGAAAAAGAAAAGUAAUAAGAAUUUUGCACGCACAAAUACAUCAAUCCUUACAAUGAUGAUUAAAACAAAAAAAACAUGACAUAAUACAAGGUUACAAGCAAUUCAGCAAAUAUCAGUAAGAAUGUAAACAUAUACAAUUUGAUCAAGCAUAUGAGGAGCUUGUAAUUGAAGUGAUCAAGAAUAUUUAGUCUUUUACUCGACAUUAUAAGUUCAAAAUCAGUGUUUGUACAACUCUUAGCUCUUAAGCAACAGGAUUAAAAUCAUGCAAUUGCUUAAGAUCAGUUCACUCCAC